GAUCAGGAUGACAAUGAAUUAGAGAUCCUGGAAAUUAUCCAUCAUUACGUUGAGAUUUUGGACCGUUACUUUGGCAGUGUCUGUGAGUUGGAUUUGAUCUUCAACUUUCACAAGGCCUAUUAUAUAUUGGAUGAGCUUCUAAUUGCUGGCGAACUUCAAGAAUCAAGCAAGAAAACAGUAGCUAGAUUGAUAGCCGCACAGGAUUCGUUGGUGGAGACUGCAAAGGAGCAAGCUAGUUCAAUAAGUAACAUAAUU
rnacentral:misc_RNA from 1 species